rnacentral:piRNA from 1 species
UUCCUGUCAUGGUAGCUGGAAGUCAUGUU